ACUGGAGGAUCAAGAAGGCUGAGUCUGAUGAAGCAGGACUUGGCUGAUACACUCCACCGUAGAGGGGUGGAGAAACAGCCCUUGCUGGAGAAAACCACAGCGUUGACUGUAUGACCCGACAUUU